rnacentral:rRNA from 1 species
GGGAUCCGAUUUUAGCAUGGAAUAAUAAAAUAGGACGUGUGGUUCUAUUUUGUUGGUUUCUAGGACCGCCGUAAUGAUUAAUAGGGACAGUCGGGGGCAUCAGUAUUCAAUUGUCAGAGGUGAAAUUCUUGGAUCUAUUGAAGACUAACUACUGCGAAAGCAUUUGCCAAGGAUGUUUUCAUUGAUAAGGAACGAAAGUUAGGGGAUCGAAGACGAUCAGAUACCGUCGUAGUCUUAACUAUAAACUAUGCCGACUAGGGAUCGGACGAUGUUAUCUUUUGACGCGUUCGGCACCUUUCGAGAAAUCAAAGUGCUUGGGCUCCAGGGGGAGUAUGGUCGCAAGGCUGAAACUUAAAGAAAUUGACGGAAGGGCACCACCAGGGGUGGAACCUGCGGCUUAAUUUGACUCAACACGGGGAAACUCACCAGGUCCAGAAAUCUAGA